rnacentral:rRNA from 1 species
CUUAAGGCUGAGACACGACGUCGAGCUACUACGGUAGUGAAGUCAUUGAUGCCAUGCUUCCAGGAAAAGCCUCUAAGCUUCAGAUUGUAAGGAAUCGUACCCCAAACCGACACAGGUGGUCGGGUAGAGAAUACCAAGGCGCUUGAGAGAACUCGGGUGAAGGAACUAGGCAAAAUGGUACCGUAACUUCGGGAGAAGGUACGCUCUCGACGGUGAAGUCCCUUGCGGAUGGAGCUAUUGAGAGUCGCAGAUACCAGGUGGCUGCAACUGUUUAUUAAAAACACAGCACUGUGCAAAAUCGUAAGAUGACGUAUACGGUGUGACGCCUGCCCGGUGCCGGAAGGUUAAUUGAUGGGGUUAGACUUCGGUCGAAGCUCUUGAUCGAAGCCCCGGUAAACGGCGGCCGUAACUAUAACGGUCCUAAGGUAGCGAAAUUCCUUGUCGGGUAAGUUCCGACCUGCACGAAUGGCGUAAUGAUGGCCACGCUGUCUCCACCCGAGACUCAGUGAAAUUGAAAUCGCUGUGAAGAUGCAGUGUACCCGCGGCUAGACGGAAAGACCCCGUGAACCUUUACUACAGCUUGGCACUGAACAUUGACCCUACAUGUGUAGGAUAGGUGGGAGGCUUUGAAACUAGUACGCCAGUAUUAGUGGAGCCGUCCUUGAAAUACCACCCUUGUAGUGUUGAUGUUCUAACGUCGACCCCUUAUCGGGGUUGCGGACAGUGCCUGGUGGGUAGUUUGACUGGGGCGGUCUCCUCCCAAAGCGUAACGGAGGAGCACGAAGGUGGGCUAAUCACGGUUGGACAUCGUGAGGUUAGUGCAAUGGCAUAAGCCCGCUUGACUGCGAGAAUGACAAUUCGAGCAGGUGCGAAAGCAGGUCAUAGUGAUCCGGUGGUUCUGAAUGGAAGGGCCAUCGCUCAACGGAUAAAAGGUACUCCGGGGAUAACAGGCUGAUACCGCCCAAGAGUUCAUAUCGACGGCGGUGUUUGGCACCUCGAUGUCGGCUCAUCACAUCCUGGGGCUGAAGUCGGUCCCAAGGGUAUGGCUGUUCGCCAUUUAAAGUGGUACGCGAGCUGGGUUUAGAACGUCGUGAGACAGUUCGGUCCCUAUCUGCCGUGGGCGUUGGAAGAUUGAAGGGGGCUGCUCCUAGUA